GAUUGCUCACACUUUACAUUCUCAGACAUCUUCAUUCCACUGAAUUAGUGAAUCCAGAGAUCCUUCAAGAGUGUGAAUUCCUAAUCUGAGAAUAGUGGAGAAAUACUGAAAACCUACCUUCCAUAAUAGAAGUGAAAGAAGCAAAAACAAGGUCCGGAACUCGGAUGAAAUAAAGGCCUUUAGGGAACUGAAUGUGGAGGACAGUUUCAUAUGCAUCAUCUCCAGCAUUGUGCAGAGAAAUGUUCAACAACACAGUCUUCGUACUUCCAACAACAAGUUUGCAAAUAUUCUAGGACAAAACUUGAAACUUCUGCAUAAGUUUGUGAAGAUAAUGCAAACCACAAGAACUGGAAUCUAACAAGAGUUACAGGAACAGUAGCUACCAAGGAGGAAAAGGACUGCUUUAGGGAAAAAAAAGCCAGCUUUCAGAGAAAACGGAUAAAUCAUCUUGGAUCAGACAAGAAUGGGCUUUAAAUCUUUCGUCUGUGAAGACAGCAGUUAGGAAUUCGUGUUCUUAAAGCCAUUGUUUCUUUUCAUAUUCUAAGGUUUUUCACCUAUAAGCCGCAGAAGAGAAAAGCACAACUUCCUCAAGGCUCCUGGCAGUCUAUGAAACCAACAGAGGAAUAUCUGAGGGCACUACACUGUUGGUCUACACAGAGAGGCCAGACUGUCAGCUCUUCCUCACACUGGCAAGGUCUCCUAAGCUACUGAGGAAAAGACCAUGAAUUACAUUUUUCAAGACAGAGCUUUUGUCUCCAUGCGUGCUAAACGAGUGAAUGCAUAAGUGCUGCAGAGGCUCCCAGGUUCCACAGGCUGUAACAGACUUCUAACAGAUCACACAUUUUAUCUCUCCUCUUCAGCAAGAGCCCUUCUAAUCCACAGGCUUUUAUAACCCUAGGAUGAUUUAUUUGGAGUACUUUUGGGAUAAUUGAAGGCUGUUCCACUGAGUAGCUGUUGUGGAACAUCCUGAAGCCUGAGCCAUAGGAAAUCAGCAGAAAAGACUUCACACAGCCUUCACUUGAUCAGCCAGGGAUCCCACAUGUUUUUUGGCUGUGAGAACUAAGAAACUUCCGGUAGGAGAUUUCUGCAAACAUGUGAGUAACUUUUGUUAGAAAAUGUGAUGUUUCAUUUUUUCAGAUGGCUCAUUUCCUGAGUUCAAAGAGGACUCAAGUGCUGAGAAGCCUUUCGGUCUACAGCAAGAGAGGAAUAUUGAAGUAGUAACUACUGUGGAAAUUUUUGUCUGUUACUUCAUUUUGUUUGGAAGGACUAUGAAAGGAAGUCACUGAAAAAAAGCCCAUGAUUUUGCCUUCUCCUAAGCUGUUCAAUUGGAGAAGAUAAAUGUAUUGUAUCUUUAACCUCUCUGUCAACAUUGCUUUUGUGUAAUGCAUCCCACUGCUGGUGAGAAGGGAAAGAAAAACGCUGGUGGAAGAACCUGUGAAUGUCUGUUAUUAGCUUUCUCCUGCAUUACCUGUACUACUCCCUUUUUUAUUUCCUAAUUUGGAGGCAUUUGGCUUAAAUUAAAUUCCUUGUAUGGGAAACUUGUAUGAACUUGAGUAACUGAUCACAUGAGCAUUUUCACUGUGUUGCAAAUAUGGUGAAAAGCACACAUUCCUAAAAGUCUUCAUGAGUGCGCCUGCUUCCAGCUGUGUCUGUCCUUGUUCUCUUUUGUUUUGCAUAUGUCUGCCUCUGCUUUUGGAGGAGGCUCAUCAGAUCUACUCUCAAUUAGAAAUAAAAAUGUUCAUGUGUUCCAAACUUGAAAAAUUUGGAAGUGUCAUUUUGAAAUUAUCGAAGUGCUUAAAUAUUAAUAUUUCAAAUUGUAAAUUUCAAAGCCUGUAACAAGGACAAUUUAGUGUUUUGGUCACACCAGAAAUAUUUUCUGUUUUCACAUAAUUUGUUUUUCUAUGAUGGCAGUGGACCAAAAAGUCUAGUGUUCAUUUGCAGUCACUUGAGAAGUUCUAGAAGGCAAAUAUAAUGUUACACGUGCCCCUAAGAUUCUCUUCAAGAAACUUCAUCUUUCCUCUGCAGUAGAUAUGUGUGCUUGAAUGAAAAGGAUAUAUUGUCCACUGACAAGUAUAAUUAAGCACAGAUGUCCAAGGCACCAAAUAGCAACUCAUUUUAGCAAAGGUUUUAAUUUUUAUCAUUUUGUAUGUGAGAGAGAGUUUCAUUUAGAAUCAGUUAAAGAGGAAGCAGCUUUUCAUUUAAUUGACAAAUAGUAUUUUCACGAUCAUACAUUUUUCAGGGAAUGUUUUUGAGACCUUUUUUUUUCUUCCUAUGAGCAGUUGGUUGGUGAAGUAAAAUACAGGUUCUCCAGAAUAACUUUUCAACCUUUAAUGGUGUGAUAUGUGUUGUGGCUAUGGCAUCCUGAGUACCAGAAGCAAAUAAUAGAUCAUCGUAAUCGAAAGCAGAA